CCUGACCGAAAUUCUGGGGAUCAGGAUGCAUUGGAUAAAUUCAAACAGUGUGCAGAAGCAUAUGAUGUUUUGAGCGAUCCUCGGAAAAGGGCCACAUAUGACCAGUUUGGUGAAGAAGGUUUGAAAAAUGGAGUGCCCCAGGGUAGCGGGGAAGCAGGGGCCUGGACGCAAGGAUACACAUUCCAUGGAAACGCAGAAAAGGUGUUCAGGGAUUUCUUUGGUGGUGAUAAUCCAUUCCAAGAAUUCUAUGAUAGAGUGGAUGGGGAUCUUAGCAUGGGCUUUGGUGGGCUACAAGGUAGAGGAAGAAAGAAGCAGGAUCCACCAAUAGAAAGAGACCUUGUCUUAUCCCUUGAGGAGGUGUUCCAUGGAUGUACAAAGAAAAUGAAAAUCACAAGAAGGGUUAUGAAUGAAGAUGGUCACACAUCCAGUAUCAGAGAGAAAAUCUUAACUAUAACUGUCAAAAAAGGCUGGAAACCCGGAACAAAAAUCACAUUUCCAGAGGAAGGCGACCAGGGUCCAAAUAAUGUCCCAGCUGACAUCGUAUUUAUUGUAAAAGACAAGCCCCAUCCUCGUUUCCGCAGACAGGGAAUCAAUCUGAUCCACACUGCCAAAGUUCCGCUCGGGAAAGCCCUGACAGGCUGCACAGUGGAGAUUAUCACUCUGGAUGAGAGGGUGCUUCAUAUUCCCAUCAAUGAUAUCAUCAAGCCAGGAUAUACAAAAGUAGUCCCAGGUGAGGGAAUGCCAGUGUCAGCUGAUCCGACAAAGAAGGGAGAUUUAGUGAUAGAAUUUGACAUUGAAUUCCCAACGUCCUUGACCCCCGACAGAAAGGACCUGAUCAAAAAGGCGCUCCUCCAUUAACUUAUAGAGUUCUUAUCAAUCUCUUCAAAACAUCAGAAGCUGGACUUUAUUGAACAAACUGGUUGUUUUUAAUAUUUAUAAGUGCAAAAUGUGAAAUUGAAUUGUUUUUAUAAAGUCAUAUAUAGUGGUUAUCCAAUAUGUGAUCAAGGAAAUUGGUAUCACACUUUUUCAAAGACAUUUACAAAUUAUUUGUAUAGCAGGUUUCUUUUUACUGUUAUAUGUUGUUUACAAAUAUUAUUAUUAUGAUCUUUGUACUUUACAUGAAGUAUACCAAUCAUGAAAUAAAACUGUGAUAAAUAUUUACAU
rnacentral:misc_RNA from 1 species